rnacentral:rRNA from 1 species
GAUGAACGCUGGCGGCGUGCUUAACACAUGCAAGUCGAACGAAGCACCUUUACAGAUUUCUUCGGAAUGAAGUUUUAGUGACUGAGUGGCGGACGGGUGAGUAACGCGUGGGUAACCUGCCUCACACAGGGGGAUAACAGUUGGAAACGGCUGCUAAUACCGCAUAAGCGCACAGUACCGCAUGGUACAGUGUGAAAAACUCCGGUGGUGUGAGAUGGACCCGCGUCUGAUUAGCUAGUUGGCAGGGCAACGGCCUACCAAGGCGACGAUCAGUAGCCGACCUGGGAGGGUGACCGGCCACAUUGGGACUGAGGCACGGCCCAAACUCCUACGGGAGGCAGCAGUGGGGAAUAUUGCACAAUGGGGGAAACCCUGAUGCAGCGACGCCGCGUGAGCGAAGAAGUAUUUCGGUAUGUAAAGCUCUAUCAGCAGGGAAGAAGAAAUGACGGUACCUGACUAAGAAGCACCGGCUAAAUACGUGCCAGCAGCCGCCGCCG